CCUACGGGAGGCAGCAGUGGGGGAUAUUGCACAAUGGGGGGAACCCUGAUGCAGCGACGCCGCGUGGGUGAAGAAGCGCCUCGGCGCGUAAAGCCCUGUCAGCAGGGAAGAAAGUGACGGGACCUGAAGACGAAGCCCCGGCUAACUACGGGCCAGCAGCCGCGGGACUACGGAGGGGGCAAGCGUGAGCCGGAUGUACUGGGUGUAAAGGGGGCGCAGACGGCGAUGCAAGACAGGCGUGAAAGCCCCGGGCCCAACCCGGGGACUGAUCUUGGAACUGGUCGGCUGGAGUGCAGGAGGGGGAGGCGGAAUUCCUGGUGUAGCGGUGAAAUGCGUAGAUAUGAGGAGGAACACCGGUGGCGAAGGCGGCCUGCUGGACUGCAACUGACGUUGAGGUCCGAAAGCGUGGGGAGCAAACAGGAUUAGAUACCCGAGUAGUC
rnacentral:rRNA from 1 species